UCAGGAGUGAAGCCGCAGGUCUUGGCAGUAUUACAGCUCAUAAAGGCUAAGCUCAGAGGAGAAAACAAGAUUGGCAGAGCAAUAGAAGAGAACCAGGACUUGGAAGAAGCAGGAGGCAGAGAGGGGGUGACACCUCAAAGAAAGAAUUGGCAAAAAUGGGAUCAUAAGGACAGUGGUUCCUGGCUUCUCCCAAGAUUCUAUAUUCAAAAAGGAACCUGAACUUGAGAGCAGAGGGUGGGAAGGACAAUGGCUCCACCAGCAGUUACUUGGCUGAGCAGAUGGU
rnacentral:lncRNA from 10 species